rnacentral:rRNA from 1 species
GAUGAACGCUGGCGGCGCGCCUAACACAUGCAAGUCGAACGGUUAAGGCCCCCUUUAGGGGGCGCAUAGAGUGGCGAACGGGUGAGUAACACGUGACCAACCCGCCCCCCCCCACCGGGACAACCUCGGGAAACCGAGGCUAAUACCGGAUACGCCGGGGCCCCCCGCAUGGGGGCUCCGGGAAAGCCUUGGCGGGGAGGGGACGGGGUCGCGGCCCAUCAGGUAGACGGCGGGGCGAGGCCCCGCCGUGCCGACGACGGGUAGCCGGGCUGAGAGGCCGAUCGCCCACAUUGGGACUGAGACCGGCCCCAGACCCCUACGGGAGGAAGAGGUGGGGAAUAUUGCCGCAAGGGGCGAAAGCUUGCCGCACGACGCCCGUGCGGGAAGGAGCCUUCGGGCCGUAAACCGCUUUCAGAGGAAAAAGCCUGACGGUCCCUGCGGAAGAGCCCCGGUUAAUUACGUCCAGCACCGGGGGUAUACUUAGGGGGCGAGCGUUACCGAUUCAUUGGGGUAAAGCGCGCGAGGCGCCCGCAAGCGCCUCGUCGAGCCGGGCUCACCCCCGGAGCACCCGAACUGCGGCUUGAGUGGGAGGGGAGGAUGAAUUCCGGUGUGCGUGAAUGCGCAGAUUCGGAAGAACACCGACGCGAAGCAGCCUUUGGCUUCACUGAGUGAGGCCGAAAGUGGGGAGCAACAGAUAAUACCUGGAGUCAAGGCGAAUCCAAGUGAAUCAGCUUACGAACGUCACUCAGGGGGCCGAACCAGUUUGUCCUUAGAGGUUAUUAG